AAAUAAGAAGCAAUACUGCAUUUAAUUUCGAAUUAAAAGAUAGAGUUAAAUACUCCUUGUUUA
rnacentral:tRNA from 1 species